AGAACGAACGCUGGCGGCGUGCCUAACACAUGCAAGUCCAACGUGAAAGGGGAGCAAUCCCCCGGUAGGUGGCAAACGGGUGAGUAAUACAUGGGUGAUCUACCUUAGGGAUGGGGAUAUCCUUCCGAAAGGAGGGGCAAUACCGAAUAUUGUCCGGAGCCGUGAAGGGUUUCGGGGAAGGAGGCCUCUGACACAAGCUUUCGCCUUAAGAUGAGCCCAUGGCCCAUCAGCUAGUUGGUAGGUAAGGCCCACCAAGGCUUCGACGGGUAGCUGGUCUGAGAGGACGAUCAGCCACACUGGGACUGNGACACGGCCCAGACUCCUACGGGCGGCAGC
rnacentral:rRNA from 1 species